GGAGAGGUGGCAGAGUGGUCUAAUGUACCUGACUCGAAAUCAGGCGUGCGGUAACGCACCGAGGGUUCGAAUCCCUCCCUCUCCUCCA
rnacentral:tRNA from 1 species